GUAGAAUAACUUUAAAAAUGUUUGAUUUUGACCAUCUGACCCAAUUUUAUUAAAAAAAGUAAAUAAUCUUUAAUAUUUCAAUUUUCUCCUAAGUGCCUCCCCUGCCCUGUAGAGCUCAGCCAAUAUUUCUGCAAGCCUAACGCGUUGACCAAUAGCGCUGCGUUUCCACCAGGGGGCAGCUGUCAAUCAUCGAGCACAAGCAGGUCUCAGCGUGCAUAAGAGUGUCACGCGCCUCACUCGGCUUACUGCAGAAACAUGGAGCAACAAAACCCCAAAUUACCGAUUCCUCGACUGCCUUCCACAUCUCAAAAAACAUUUAAAAAGUUUAAAAGCCCUUCAAAAGUGGCUGUAAGACGUUUAAGACAGUCGAGUAGAAUUUACAUUGGAGAUUGUUUUACACACCAUGGAGAGAUUUUCGUGAUCUACACGGCCUGAAAACGGAUGAAGAGUUGGCAAAGUAUCUUUUAGACAGUCAUCAGUCCAAAUAUGAAGCAUCAACAUCUACACCAUUGAAGCGCCAACUGUGUAUUUCUCCAACACCAGUGCCAGCUCUGUCUAGCAUUCAUGGAGAGUCAUCUGAAAGGGAUGAUAAUUUGGAGGAGGUGAUGGAACAAGGUGAAACUAAAAAAGAAGGAUCUUCACAAAUGUUAUCUUGUGUGGGAAUUGAAGCAAACAUUGACGAGGAAGAGUUCAACAAUAUUCAAAACUCUGUGAUAGUCAUCAGAUGACACAUGGUCACCAAACAGAGAACCAGAAGUUGAUUCGUCUUCAGAGGAGGACGAAACCAUCGAGAUGGACAGCGGUACUGAUGACAGCAGUGAUGAGGACUACACACCUUAUAUACACAUAAGGACUGGAGCAGCAUUACAAAAAAUAUUACAACUUGAGACUCUGCAAGAAAUUAACAGAGGAUACAGUUCAUGACUGUAAUAUCCCAGAAGCAACUGACCGACGUUUGACAAGCAAGAAAGGUCUUCCUCGACGCUACGAGCUAAGGGCUGAGGAUCCAAGGCGUUAUGGUUUGCUGUCCGGAGUUCCUGCACCAUCAACAGAGGAACUUCUACAACACCUACGGACUUGUGGUGAUGGUAAAACUUUGCCACAGACAUAGGUGUUGGGGGAGGCAAGAGAAAACCCAAAACCUUCUUUAUUUUUGUUUCCUGUGUUUUUUUUUUUUUUGAAAAUAAAGAUAUAUUUUGGGGAAAUAAGGACU